UCUUAAUGGACUGAGCCAUCCAGGUGCCCCCUCACUUACUUUUAAUUUGUCUUUCUCAACUUCAUGUAUUUUUGUAAACUGCCCUCAUUUGUUUCUGGAAAAGGUGAAAUGUACAUGAAUACAUUCAAUAAAAACAAUGUCAUCCUUAAAGUAAGACCUCUCUGCUGCUGGGAGCCCUGGUCAAUGGGACGUGAGUAGUUGGUGAUCACUGCUGAUUGGACUAAGCUACUGCCAGGGCGUCUGUACCCAUGGUAAGCUGGUCAUGGACUGUAGGAAGAGCUCGAUCUGCAUAGUAAGUACUCUCCAGCCUUAUUUCAUGGUGCACUCAAAGAUCCUGACUCCAAGGUGAGUACACAAAGCUCAUUGUUUUCUUUGGGGACCUUUUGCCACACUUCCCUCUCACUGUGCUUUGAAAAUUAACCACCAGAGUCUGGUCAUUAUGGCUUCAUUAACUAUUCCUUGUAAUUGCACCAGUCAUAAUUAAUUCAUUUGUUAUUCACAUGGGUGACAUACGGACACUUUAAUAGAUUUUCCUCAGGGAAUUCCACAUAUUAAAUGAUAUUGAUGGUGCUUUUAGAAAAGAUUGAAAGGGAACUACAAUAUAAACCAUUUUGUAUAAGUAGCGAUGAGAUAUUUUAUCGUGAAAAUGAAGUUAAUUAUUUUAAUCUCUCAACCUUUUUAGAUCAAAACCCAAAGAUGUAUAAACUAGUCUUUUCUCCCCCCACCAGACAUUUCUAAUCCAUAAUUCAGAGUGCCAAAAUAAAACCAUUCUUAUAAAAAUAGAUGGUGCAUUUACACAAACGCAUGCCAGAGUAUUUAAGUAAAUAAUACUUGAAUUAAUUUCAGGUUAAAACCUUUCCUUUAAGCCUCUCUUAUUUUUUUUUUUCCAGAAACCAUCUGUAUUUUAACAUCUUACUGCACAGCUGCAUUCCUCAUGUUUAAUUUAUGGCGGAGAUCUUUUGUGACAAGACCAACUUAUUUUUCAAAUGAAAUCAAUUCAUUUUAGGUACCCAAUGAAAAAACCUACCCAAAAAACCCCUUAAGACCUACAGGAAAACUCAGGCCCAGGAUGUUUUAUGAGCUUCAGAUCUACCCCCAGGUCGGAGCACACAAGCCAGGUUAUCAGCUUGAUGACCUUCAAGUAAAGCAAACACAUUACAUCAGACCGUUAUGAAAGAGCCCACACUCAGAAGAGCUCCCAGCCUGCUGGUGAGGUGAUAAUUAACAAAUGCUUCCUGAUUCUUUCACUUGAACUUAAGAACCCUUCAUAAAAUUCUUCACAAACAGUCUUGAAGAGGGGCACUGGGUGGCUCAGUGGUCGAGCCUUCAGCUCAGGGUAUGAUCUGGGGUCCUGGGAUGAGUCCUGCAUCAGGCUCCCCACAAGGAGCCUGCUUCUCCCUCUGCCU